GACGAACGCUGGCGGCGUGCUUAACACAUGCAAGUCGAACGGAAAGGCCCUGCUUUUGUGGGGUGCUCGAGUGGCGAACGGGUGAGUAACACGUGAGUAACCUGCCCUUGACUUUGGGAUAACUUCAGGAAACUGGGGCUAAUACCGGUUAGGAGCUCCUGCUGCAUGGUGGGGGUUGGAAAGUUUCGGCGGUUGGGGAUGGACUCGCGGCUUAUCAGCUUGUUGGUGGGGUAGUGGCUUACCAAGGCUUUGACGGGUAGCCGGCCUGAGAGGGUGACCGACCACAUUGGGACUGAGAUACGGCCCAGACUCCUACGGGAGGCAGCAGUGGGGAAUAUUGCACAAUGGGCGGAAGCCUGAUGCAGCAACGCCGCGUGCGGGAUGACGGCCUUCGGGUUGUAAACCGCUUUCGCCUGUGACGAAGCGUGAGUGACGGUAAUGGGUAAAGAAGCACCGGCUAACUACGUG
rnacentral:rRNA from 1 species